AGGUAAAUGAGAUGAAGUUUUCGGAUGGAUUCUUAUUUACCGAGUGGCGGACGGGUGAGUAACGCGUGGGUAACCUGCCUCAUACAGGGGGAUAACGAUUGGAAACGAUUGCUAAUACCGCAUAAGCGCACAGUACCGCAUGGUACGGUGUGAAAAACUCCGGUGGUAUGAGAUGGACCCGCGUCUGAUUAGCUAGUUGGUGAGGUAACGGCCCACCAAGGCAACGAUCAGUAGCCGACCUGAGAGGGUGACCGGCCACAUUGGGACUGAGACACGGCCCAGACUCCUACGGGAGGCAGCAGUGGGGGAUAUUGCACAAUGGAGGAAACUCUGAUGCAGCGACGCCGCGUGAGUGAAGAAGUAUUUCGGUAUGUAAAGCUCUAUCAACAGGGAAGAAAA
rnacentral:rRNA from 1 species